CCUCCUUAACGAUAAUUUCGCGUUUUAAACGCCCACACGAGUAAUCAAAUAUAUAAAAGAACAUUUAGUUAUGUAAAAUCAUUGGUAUGUAAUUUUCUAGUGUAUACAUUUAUGUAUACAUAAGAUCACUGCAAUUAAAAAGUAACGCAUGCAUUUAUGUAUGCGUUAAAAAGUAAUUAAUAUAUUUUAUUAAGUUACUCUCAAAUGAAGAUAAAACUUCGAUAAAAAAUAAUAACCUUUUUUAAGGUUAUAUGAUCAAGUAAAGGAAGAGCACAAGGCGGAUGCCUUGGCAGCGUAAGGCGAUGAAGGACGUAAUAACCUGCGAUAAGCCUCGGGGAGCUGGUAAAUAAGCUUCGAUCCGAGGAUUUCCGA
rnacentral:misc_RNA from 1 species